rnacentral:lncRNA from 1 species
GCUGGUCUCGAACUCCUGACCUCAGACAGAUCAUCUGAGGUCAGGAGUUCGAGACCAGCCUGACCAACAUUGUGAAACCUGUCUCUACUAAAAAUACAAAAAAUUAGCCGGGCAUGGUGGUAGGCACCUAUAAUCUCAGCUAUUUGUAAGGCUGAAGCAGGAGAAUUGCUUGAACCUGGGAGGUGGAGGUUGCAGUGAGCCGAGAUCACAUCAUUGCACUCCAGCCUGG